UACCAGACUCCUACGGGAGGCAGCAGUGGGGAAUAUUGCACAAUGGGGGAAACCCUGAUGCAGCAACGCCGCGUGAGUGAAGAAGUAUUUCGGUAUGUAAAGCCCUAUCGGCAGGGAAGAAGCAAGACGGUACCUGACUAAGAAGCCCCGGCUAACUACGUGCCAGCAGCCGCGGUAAUACGUAGGGGGCGAGCGUUAUCCGGAUUCACUGGGUGUAAAGGGGGCGCAGACGGCGAUGCAAGCCAGGAGUGAAAGCCCGGGGCCCAACCCCGGGACUGCUCUUGGAACUGCGUGGCUAGAGUGCAGGAGGGGCAGGCGGAAUUCCUGGUGUAGCGGUGAAAUGCGUAGAUAUCAGGAGGAACACCGGCGGCGAAGGCGGCCUGCUGGACCGUGACUGACGUUGAGGCUCGAGAGCGUGGGGAGCAAACAGGAUUAGAUACCCGGGUAAU
rnacentral:rRNA from 1 species